CUGCGGGAAUUGCCCAUCAGGUCGAGCGUUGAGGGAAGCCGCUCGACCAAUUUUUCUCAUUCUGAGCCAUUUACCGAGUUAGUUUUGAGUGGGUGUGUGCCUGCCGUCACUCAGGUGAUGUUCUGAGAAGGUGGAAGAGGUGGAGUAGCGAGGUGCGGGCGGCGGGAGUGGCCCCGCCCACAGCUGUCAACAGGGAUAUGGGCGGUGGGCGUGGCGGGUUGAGGUAGGCAGUAGGGCAGGCAGUGUCCGCAGGGAAAGCUCCGGGGGUGAGCGGGUCCGAACACCACUGAAUGGUGAACCUCCCUGCCACCACUACCACUACCUAGCAGGUGCUCACCGCCACUGCCACCACCUGUUGUCACCAUAUUAACACUACCACCACCUGUGCCACGUACACCACCACUUGUUCCACGUACGCCACUACUCUUCCCCACCUACACCGCCACCACUUGCCUCCUACGACCACUACCAGCUGUGAUUCAGCAUCAUUCAUAUACCACCUGCGCUUGUAGCUGGUGUUUCUUAGUAACUUAACCACCUGUAGCUUAAAAUCACUAAUUUCUUCACUUUGGCACCUCAACAUCAUCUCCUGGUUCCAUAUACCACCUGCUGUUCCCCAGCGCCACCUGUUAUCGUCUGUACCAAUUGAUUGCUGGCCAUCUGCUCCAAAAGUGGUAUCACUGGUGACUCCCACCACCACACCUGCCCUCAUUGGAACCCCUGGCACUUUACACACCUGUCGUUAUUACAACCCCUGGCACUUCUGCACACCUGUCGUUAUUACAACCCCUGGCAUUUUACACACCUGCUGUCAUCGCAACACCCCUGGCACUCCUACACACCUGCCAUCAUUCCGACCCCUGUCACUCUUACACGCCUACCGUCAUUGCAGCCCUUGGCACUCUUAACACACCUGCUUAAAAAACCUCCUGAAAGGUGACAUUGAAAAAAAUCAGGGAACUAGAGAGGUUAGGACAAGAAGAGAAGAGAUGGUGAAGAGGGUUGUAGAGAGGCCCGCCAGCCAGCUGCACUGCUAUUAUUAAUGCCUAUGGGUGCCUUCCGGCAUGCCUGACGGUGGAGGCGUUGAAGGACCCCCACAAACAUGCACAACACCUUGACGACGGAGGCGCUGAAGGAGAAGGUCCCUUCCCCCUCAAACACACACACCGCCUUUUCUCUCACUCGCCUCACCCUUUCAUAACCACAUCAUCCAAACACACACCGACUUUCUUUGACAUUCCUGGGAUCUCUCACAGUGUUAUCAGAAAAUCACAGUUUUUGUUUAAUUUUUUUUCGUGUCGUUGAUAUAUUAACGUAAGUGGAAGCGUUGAGGGUGCAUCAAGGCGUGAAUAUAGUGUUGCGAGGGUGAAUCAGACGGUGAGCAUAGUGGAAGAACAUUUUGAAAAGUGAGAGGAGUGUCUAAGUGAAUUGUAUUCAAGGAAGAGGGAGUAGCGUGUAAGACUGUGAGGAAACAAGAGUGAAAUCCCUUGCCAAUGGAGCCAACGAUGGGAUCAUUAAAGUGCCAUUUGGAUUCCCCGCUGCACAGUGCCAUCUGGAUCUGCCGCCACUGGUGCCAAAGAGAGGAUCAUUAAGUAUCAUCUAGAUCCCUCUCCACUGCGGCCAACGACGGUAACAUUAACAGUGCCAUUUGGAUCACCCGCUACACUCCGGCCAACGAGGGGAUCAUUAACAUUGCCAUCUGAAUUGGCCCGCCACUGUGGCCAACGAGGGAGGCAUUAACAGUGCCAUCUGGGAGGCUGAGCUCAUCCCUCAGGCCCGGUAACUGGAGCUGCUGCUGCCAUUCCCUCACCACCUUGCACGCAGCUGGUGCUCCAAUACACUCUCACCCCGUCCCCUCGUCCACCGAACCUUGUCCACCGUCCAUGAGGGGACUUGUCCGCCGUUGCACCGUCCACUACCACCCCUCUUAUGCUACAAUCACCACCACCACCUGUUAAAAGCUUAGUGACGCAGAAACGCAGCGUCAUGCGUGUGAAGCACAUCACUGGUACGCGUGGUAUGCGACAUGUUUUGACUGUGUUUUGGUGACUUCGAUGUAGUGCCAUGCCCGAGGGCGACUCCUCCGCAUAUCUAGUGCCAUUCGAUGUGUGUCGUCUGCAAGAGAUGACGUGAUGCUGCCAACGUCUGUGCCAUAAAACGUCGCGAUGCAAUAUCCUAGAAAGAAUUACUUUCUGGUGCCAGUCGUCACCAAGUCUGUGUUGCUGCACACUGGAUAACCAAGAUUCUCAUCAGGUGGAGUGGUGUCAGUCACCAACAGGUGUUUUGCGCUGGUGCCUCAAUCAACCUUAUACCACCGUGACUGAAUGAGACUCAGUCUAGUAGCUCACAGUUCUGUCUUGGUGACCUUGUGAAGUGUAUGUGCGCGCUUGGCGCUCGGGUGCCUUUGAGUUGACGCUAUAAACUUUGUGAAAUCUUGAUACAGUUUAAUUUAAUAUUGAUGUAAAUUGGGUGAGGUGUCUUUGACUUGGCAGCUAGCUCAUUGACUAGAUACAAGACAUUUCUAUUAUUUGGUAGCUCUGUACAAAUUAAAAUAAUUAUAUUCACACUACUAACAGUAAUAAUAGUAAUAUAAUAAGCUAACGUGUUACUGUCGUUGUAUAUCAUAUAAUUUGUCACGUUUGAUAGCAGAUGAUAAGAGAGAGAGUUGAUAUUACAGUGAAAAUGGGGAAACUUUAUAGGAGGUCGGCAGGUGGUUCAGAGCCCACGUAGUGAGGUAACAAUACUACUCCACUUGUACUGGGAGCGACGCCCUGCCACGCCCAUACUUCCCACGCUCACUACCCACGCCUGGCCCACGUGCCCAACCCACGCCCGCACCUGUGCCAAGUUCCUCGUUUUGCGUGUGCCCCGUUAACUAGCCGAGGAUCCCGCCCACUCCCGCCAGCUUCAGUAAAGUCCCAUCGCCGGUUUUGUUGAAGCCCCGUCCCCUGCACUCCCACCUGCAUACCUGCCCGCCCAAACACGCCCGCCCGCAUGCCUGACUGCCCAAACACGCCUGCACGCAUACCUAGCCGCCCACACACCCCAAGGAUCUCGGGCGUACCCCUUACGCCCACAUGCGAGCCUAGCUACACUGCGGCCCCACACACCCGCACGCCCACGCUUGCACGCCCACUCACCCAUGGCCGCGGCUGAGUGAAAGGACGCGAGGGCCGCCCAUGAAGGAUGUCUGCGCCGGUGUACGGCAAUGUGACAAGGUCUCUGCGUGAGGAGGUGCGAGCAGUGGUGGGCAGCAACACCAACAUUAUUCCCUCUACCCUCCUGCCUCGCAUCCUAGCCAACAUGGCUCUCUUUCCCUCCAAGGCCCAAGGUCAGUCACCUCACUACGUUGUUGUUGUCGUCUUCAAGAUCAAUCACCUCUCUACCCUCUUAGUCUUCAAGGUCACUCACCUUACUACGUUGUUGUCUUCAAGGUCAGUCACUACGUUGUUGUCUUCAAGGUCAGUCACCAAAGUUGUUCUUGUUGUA